rnacentral:rRNA from 1 species
CGGAGGGCGCAAGCGUUGUUCGGAAUCACUGGGCGUAAAGCGCGUGUAGGCGGCCUUCUCAGUCUGGUGUGAAAGCCCGGGGCUCACCCCCGGAAGUGCAUUGGAUACUGGAAGGCUGGAGUACCGGAGAGGAGGGUGGAAUUCCUGGUGUAGCGGUGAAGUGCGUAGAUAUCAGGAGGAACACCGGUGGCGAAGGCGGCCCACUGGACGGAUACUGACGCUGAGACGCGACAGCGUGGGGGAGCAAACAGGAUUAGAUACCCUGGUAGUCCACGCCGUAAACGAUGGGUACUAGGUGUUCGGGGUAUUGACCCCCUGAGUGCCGCAGCUAACGCAUUAAGUACCCCGCCUGGGGACUUCGGCCGCAAGGCU